rnacentral:rRNA from 1 species
CCUACGGGAGGCUGCAGUGCGGAAUAUUGGUCAAUGGACGAGAGUCUGAACCAGCCAAGUAGCGUGAAGGAUGACUGCCCUAUGGGUUGUAAACUUCUUUUAUAAAGGAAUAAAGUGAGGCACGUGUGCCUUUUUGUAUGUACUUUAUGAAUAAGGAUCGGCUAACUCCGUGCCAGCAGCCGCGGUAAUACGGAGGGUCCGAGCGUUAUCCGGAUUUAUUGGGUUUAAAGGGAGCGUAGAUGGGUUGUUAAGUCAGUUGUGAAAGUUUGCGGCUCAACCGUAAAAUUGCAGUUGAUACUGGCAGUCUUGAGUACAGUUGAGGUAGGCGGAAUUCGUGGUGUAGCGGUGAAAUGCGUAGAUAUCACGAAGAACUCCGAUUGCGAAGGCAGCUUACUAAACUGCCACUGACAUUGAUGCUCGAAAGUGUGGGUAUCAAACAGGAUUAGAUGCCCCUGUAGUC